rnacentral:rRNA from 1 species
AUGGUUAUGUUGCUAUCUAACAUUUCACUUUUGUUUCUUGAUUUCUUGGAUAAUGUUUUUCUCUUUCUUGAGAAUCAUCAUAUUGGAAAGGCUGCUUGUGUUGUCAAAUAUGAACUAUUUAUUACGGUUGAUUUCUGUGCUAGUAAUGCCUAUUGCCUUCUCCACCCAUACAGGACGCCCUCCUCGAAGCAGCCAUCCCCGACGAGCUCUCUUCGCCGGAGGAGAUGGAGCAGCAAGUCCAGCACCCGCUUGGCCCCUGUGUCCUAUCUUGCGUGGACAAGCUCACCAAUGGCUGCGUCUUCCUUCCCUCCUAGCGUGAUAUUGGUUUAUGGAGUAUUUUCAGCAACGAAGACAUUUGUUCUCACGACUUUGGUGUGGAGGGGUGGAUAUAAUGUCUAG